AGCUCCAAUAGCGUAUAUUUAAGUUGUUGCAGUUAAAAAGCUCGUAGUUGGAUUUCGGGUGGGGUGGUGCGGUCCGCCUUUGGUGUGCACUGCUCCGCUCCACCUUCCUGCCGGGGACGGGCUCCUGGGCUUAACUGUUCGGGACUCGGAGUCGGCGACGAUACUUUGAGUAAAAUAGAGUGUUCAAAGCAGGCCUACGCUCUGAAUAUAUUAGCAUGGAAUAUCACGAUAGGACUCUGGCCUAUCU
rnacentral:rRNA from 1 species